CUCUAGUUAUUAUUAUUUUUUGAACGGGUAUUAUAUUAUUAUAUGUCCGUAAUUUGAAAACCUUCCCCAAAAUUAUCGCACUCAAUCAAUCCUCCGAAACCCUACGGUUAUGAAAGUGGAACCUGAGUGUUAGAGAUCUUAUCAAGAUCCAAGAAGACGAUAGGAAGAACAUUCCAGAUCAAUGCAUCUAACGAUCCGAGUUUUCCGAUUUGAAUCUCAGUGCUUUGAAUCAUUAGCUCUCAGAUUUUCAACAAGUUACUGGUAUAUUUCUGCCUUCUUAGAUUAAAGGGUAAAUUACUUUUUGAGUCCCUAUGUUUUAUGUGUUUUAACUAGUUGAGUCCAAAAGCAAAAAGUUUAACGACCUGAGUCCCUAUAAGCAUUUUCUUUAACUAUUUGAGUCCAAAUUUCUAACACAGUUAAAAUUAUUCUGUUAACUUUUGUUAAAUGACCAAAUUACCCUUUUAAUUAAAAAAACCAUUUUAUUAUUAAAUAUAUAUAUGUUAUCUAAGACUAUCCACUAUGGUGACCAAACUUCUCAAACGGUUACCAGGUGAAUAAU
rnacentral:lncRNA from 1 species